UACGGGGGGAGCAAGCGUUGUUCGGAAUCACUGGGCGUAAAGGGAGUGUAGGCGGUUCGGUAAGUGGGAUGUGAAAUGCCCGGGCUCACCCCGGGACCUGCAUCCCAUACUGCUGAGCUUGAGUACAGGAGAGGGUGGGGGAAUUCCUGGUGUAGCGGUGAAAUGCGUAGAUAUCAGGAGGAACACCGGUGGCGAAGGCGCCCACCUGGCCUGCUACUGACGCUGAUGCUCGAAAGCUAGGGGAG
rnacentral:rRNA from 1 species